AGCGAACGGACGAGAAGCUUGCUUCUCUGAUGUUAGCGGCGGACGGGUGAGUAACACGUGGAUAACCUACCUAUAAGACUGGGAUAACUUCGGGAAACCGGAGCUAAUACCGGAUAAUAUUUUGAACCGCAUGGUUCAAAAGUGAAAGACGGUCUUGCUGUCACUUAUAGAUGGAUCCGCGCUGCAUUAGCUAGUUGGUAAGGUAACGGCUUACCAAGGCAACGAUGCAUAGCCGACCUGAGAGGGUGAUCGGCCACACUGGAACUGAGACACGGUCCGGACUCCUACGGGAGGCAGCAGUAGGGAAUCUUCCGCAAUGGGCGAAAGCCUGACGGAGCAACGCCGCGUGAGUGAUGAAGGUCUUCGGAUCGUAAAACUCUGUUAUUAGGGAAGAACAUAUGUGUAAGUGACUGUGCACAUCCUGACGGUACCUAAUCAGAAAGCCACGGCUAACUACGUGCCAGCAGCCGCGGUAAUACGUAGGUGGCAAGCGUUAUCCGGAAUUAUUGGGCGUAAAGCGCGCGUAGGCGGUUUUUUAAGUCUGAUGUGAAAGCCCACGGCUCAACCGUGGAGGGUCAUUGGAAACUGGAAAACUUGAGUGCAGAAGAGGAAAGUGGAAUUCCAUGUGUAGCGGUGAAAUGCGCAGAGAUAUGGA
rnacentral:rRNA from 1 species